GUAACGGCGAGUGAAGCGGGAAGAGCUCAAAUUUGAAAUCUGGUAGCCUUCGGUUGCCCGAGUUGUAAUCUAGAGAAGUGUUUUCCGCGUUGGCCCAUGUACAAGUCCCUUGGAACAGGGCGUCAUAGAGGGUGAGAAUCCCGUCCUUGACAUGGACCCCCAAUGCUUUGUGAUACACUUUCAACGAGUCGAGUUGUUUGGGAAUGCAGCUCAAAAUGGGUGGUGAAUUCCAUCUAAAGCUAAAUAUUGGCGAGAGACCGAUAGCGAACAAGUACCGUGAGGGAAAGAUGAAAAGCACUUUGGAAAGAGAGUUAAACAGUACGUGAAAUUGUUGAAAGGGAAACGAUUGAAGUCAGUCAUGCUCUUUGGAUUAAGCCGUUCUGCGGUGUAUUUCAUUGAGCGGGGUCAACAUCAGUUUUGAUCGCUGGAAAAGGGCAGGAGGAAGGUAGCACUCUCGGGUGAACUUAUAGCCUCUUGUCGUAUACAGUGAUUGGGACUGAGGAACGCAGCAUGCCUUUUGGCCGGGAUUCGUCCACGUACAUGCUUAGGAUGUUGACAUAAUGGCUUUAAACGACCCGUCUUG
rnacentral:rRNA from 1 species